AAGUGGUGGGAUGGAUAGGGGAAAACUGUACUGAGGUCUUGUUAUGAUAGGACUGAAGUGGUGGGAUGGAUAGGGGAUAACUGUACUGAGAGAUAAAAGAAGAAGAAAAAGCCACUACUUCCCCCGAAGACAAAGGGGUUAUUAAGAACAUACAUACAUGUGCUAUCAACUGUGAAUUUCUUAAGACAGGAACUGCUUCUAGGUCCGUUUCUAUGUCCCCCCCCCUCCCCAACUCCCUCUGCACAUGCUCACUGUUGCUAUGCUGGUGUCGUUGCGGUGAUGACCGAUCUCUUUUCCCCCUGGCAACGGCAGCAAAACGACAUACUUCUCUCUCUCUCUACAUUUGUGAUUUCUCUCUCUCUCUCUCUAAAAGCAACUUCUCCCCCAUAGCUCUUUCAGGGGGACUACAUAUUGCUGCUAGAUUAAGGUAUCAGAUAGGUAGAUAGACAACGGAAAAAUGUUUUUAUAGAAUUCAUACGUACAGCAAAAGACUUGUUUUUAUUUUUAUUAUGUUGCAAUUAUAAAUGCAAAACUGGAAAUACUUUCACUAAUAACAUGGGCCUCGUGGAGGAAAAAACACAAAAGGUUUGUUGUGUCUGCAAAAAAAAAAGAUGUGUACAGAUGUUUUUUGACAUUAUUAUUUGAUUGUGUUUAAAUUAAUAAAAAAUGGAUUUGUGAACUGUUA